CCUACGGGAGGCUGCAGUGGGGAAUAUUGCGCAAUGGGCGAAAGCCUGACGCAGCGACGCCGCGUGAGGGAUGAAGGUCUUCGGAUCGUAAAACCCUGUUGUUAGAGAAGAAAGUGCGUGAGAGUAACUGUUCACGUUUCGACGGUAUCUAACCAGAAAGCCACGGCUAACUACGUGCCAGCAGCCGCGGUAAUACGUAGGUGGCAAGCGUUAUCCGGAUUUAUUGGGCGUAAAGGGAACGCAGGCGGUCUUUUAAGUCUGAUGGGAAAGCCUUCGGCUUAACCGGGGUAGUGCAUUGGAAACUGGGAGACUUGAGUGCAGAAGAGGAGAGUGGAACUCCAUGUGUAGCGGUGAAAUGCGUAGAUAUAUGGAAGAACACCAGUGGCGAAAGCGGCUCUCUGGUCUGUAACUGACGCUGAGGUUCGAAAGCGUGGGUAGCAAACAGGAUUAGAUACCCGAGUAGUC
rnacentral:rRNA from 1 species